AAAAAUCACUGCACAAAACCAUUUACUCUUUGCACAAAAAACACAUUUCAUUUGUACAGUGGAAUUAAACACAACACAUUUGAUUGUACAGUAGAAGGAAAAACCACAUUUAUUUGUAAAGUGGAAUGAAAGGAAAGGGUAUGGUAGUUAGCAUCUUAUUCCAGAAGGUCUAGCUCAGCAUCCCAUUGUUUACUACCUGAUGCCAUUUAAGAUAGUUAACCGUUAACAUUGUGUAUUAUUCUCGUUGUUUGUAUAUCAAACUCGUGAUCUGUGCAUUUUCAGAUACAGUUAAGGGACUCUCCAAUGAUGCCUCAUCCUUUUCCGAUGAUGGUCCGUCCACUUCGUUUAGUAGCGCCAGUACGAUGGCGUCAACACCGACCCAACCACAGAUUACGCCCAAUGCACUCCGGCAUCA